ACGAACGCUGGCGGCAUGCCUAACACAUGCAAGUCGAACGAGACCUUCGGGUCUAGUGGCGCACGGGUGCGUAACGCGUGGGAACCUGCCCUUAGGUUCGGAAUAACUCCCCGAAAGGGGUGCUAAUACCGGAUAAUGUCUUCGGACCAAAGAUUUAUCGCCUUUGGAUGGGCCCGCGUUGGAUUAGCUAGUUGGUAGGGUAAAAGCCUACCAAGGCGACGAUCCAUAGCUGGUCUGAGAGGAUGGUCAGCCACACUGGGACUGAGACACGGCCCAGACUCCUACGGGAGGCAGCAGUGGGGAAUAUUGGACGAUGGGCGAAAGCCUGAUCCAGCAAUGCCGCGUGAGUGAUGAAGGCCUUAGGGUUGUAAAGCUCUUUUACCCGGGAUGAUAAUGACAGUACCGGGAGAAUAAGCGCCGGCUAACUCCGUG
rnacentral:rRNA from 1 species